CCGGAAGUGUGGGAGAGGCUCUGCUCUGAGAAAGGAAUUGUGGGCCUGUCACACAUGUGGACUGUGAGAUGAGCAAAGAGGAUACUCCCAGUGGGCUCUUCGAAACAUGACUUGCAGCUGCUGCCCUAUAUGCUGCUCCCCACUUCAGUCCUGCCCACAGAGCCAUCACUUAAACGAGUAAACUUGUUGACUCGGAAGAUUAGCCCUGAGCUAACGUCUGCUGCCAAUCCUCCUCGUUUUGCGGAGGAAGACUGGCCCUGAGCUAACAUCCGUGCCCAUCUUCCUCUACUUUACAUGUGGGAUGCCUACCACAGCAUGGCUUGCCAAGCCGUGCCAUGUCCGCACCCGGGAUCCGAACCAGCAAACCCCAGGCCGCUGAAGCGGAACAUGUGAACCCAGCUGCUGCCCUACCAGGCCGGCCCCUGGACAUCUCAUUUUUAACCCUCUGCCACUACCAACCCCCUCCCCCAAAUACUGUUCUUUUAAAACUCCAUUCAGAGUGUAAGCUAAUGGUUGCUUUGCAAAGGAUAUAGUUGUUUUAUUUUCCACAUCUAGAAAAAGAAACAGAAUUUAACCAAGCGUUUAUGAAUUCUUUUCCAUUUCAUAAAUAUUGUUAAAAUUCCACUGUGCUUUGAUGCAACAUUUGAUAUCUUUACUUUUCCAGGCAUUUGCUAAUAAUCCAAUGUCUAAGAGGAGACAGGAUUUUUCUUUCAUGGUUUUCAGAAAUAGGAUGCUUUGACAAAUGUCUUGCUGUUCAAUACAAAUGAACUUAGUUUGACUUCAGAAUUAUGGAGAAAUGUAUUCUCUGGCCUAUAUUUAUAAACUCCCA
rnacentral:lncRNA from 1 species